CAAAUGAAGUUUGAGCAAAUAUUUUUAAAAGUAUCAUCAAAUUAAGCAUGUAAAAACACAAAUUUUGGAAAAAAAAUUCCAAAAAGUUCCUUGGGAGCUAAACUGCAUUCGUUUCAAAAUUUCGGAUGUUACAAACCCCAGUUUUUUUUUUUUUUUUUUAUAAGAAUCUGUUUAAGAUAACAAUUGAAUUAAAAAGUGUGUGAAAUCAAAUAUAUUUUAAACCCUACUGCAAGCUGUGUAAGUACAUAGUAUAAACUGUAUUAAUUAUAGAACAUAUUACACAUUAAUUUGGAUAAUAUAUUUAUAUAACAUUGUUAGCCUAGAAAUGCCACAAGCUUAUGUUUAAAAUAUGAAUGGAUAAAAAAAUUACUGUGAGGAACAAAAAGAAAACUGUUUAAAACUGGAGGUGGUUCCCACACAAAUAGAUAAUUAUCUUCCAGUAAAUUUAAGAAACGGUUAUAUAUUAUUAUACAAUUGUCUGACAGAUUACUCCUACCUCUGGAUAGAUAUUCUAGUAAAUUAAAUUAUAACAACAAGCCAUAUCCUUAAUUUGUAUAAUAUGGAAUCAAAUUUACCUAUUACUUUCACAUAUUAAUAUGUACUAUAAGUAGUAAGUGUCAAUUAGCAUUUAGUUAGUAAAUUAAUUUAAUUAAAUUCAAUUAAUUUUCUUUUUAUAGUUAAAGUAAGCCUUUUAAAGAAAAACAAAUGAAUAAUAGAAUCAUUUAAAGAUAUGUUUCCUGAUCACAGUCAUACACUCAAUAGUGUAACUCACAUUGUUAAUCAAGGUAAAUUGUUAUACAUAUAAUAUUGAAUAACCGUUUAUUUAACUGUUCACAAUAAACAUUUUAGGCAUCAAUAACUGUGGUAAUUAUACUAAUAGUAGUAAUUUGCUAAAUAAUACACCCUUUGAAAAAUAUGUAAUUAACAAUUUAUCAAACCAUCCAAGGUAAAUGGUAAAAGUCUAAUGGAAUUACUAAUUAACUGUCUUGAACUCAUGGAUUACACAAAACUUUUAAGUCUAUUGGAAAACAUCAAAAACUAACAAGUAAAUAAAGACUCCUACAUUACUUACUCAGAACCUAAAAGUAAAAUUUAUAAGGUCGGUAUCAUAAUAAACAUCCGAAAAUAAGGAACACUAGACCAGAAAAUUAAACCAACAUUCUUCGAAUUGGUGUACCACUGUUGUAGGUAAGAAUUUGGAAAGGUAAGAUGUAGAGGGGAAUUUAAUGUUUUUAUGUAUCCAAUAAUUAAUCAUUGCUAAAGAAAAACUAUUUUGAGCAGAGUUUAGUUAUACAUGUUUUAAAAGGCCUGUUAGGUGGUCAGUCUAACAAUUUUAUCCUCAGAGCACCUAUUAAAUAAAUAUUACUUAUAGAACUAGCAAAAUUAUAAUUUUCUAUAAAUAGCACACCAACUCACAUAUAUAUAUAUCUAUAUAUUAUGGAUUACCAAUUGAUAUGUUGAGCUUAGGUUGCAUUCUUGUUGAGCUAUUUACUGGAUUUCUAUUAUUUCCAGGGAAAGAUGAAACUGAUCAAUUAGCUUGUAUUAUUGAACUUUUAGUUGUUCCCUCAGAUCAGAAUCUACAAUUGUAUGUACAAACAAAUGAAAAAAUUUGGAAUUUAUUUAAGAUUUUAUUAUUCUAAUAUAAAAGGUAAUAUAAUAUAUAGUAAAAAUUAAUAAUAUCAAAAAUAACAAAUUUAUUAAAUUUUUUUUUUAUAGAUUUUGACAUUUUUAAUUGACUAAAAAAUAAUAUAGAACCUUGUGGAACAUUAUACAAAUUAUGAACAAAAAUAGCACCCUACAGAUUGUCUAAAGAAAAAGAUAAAUAUAAGAUUUAACUUUUAUUUAAAGCUGAGCUUUAAAUAAACCCACUAGUCAUUUACUAGUAAAUAUUGUUUUACAUAAUACACAUUUUAUAAUUAUUUUAAUAAGACUGAUAAUCAUAUUAUAGUCUUAUAAAGUAUUUGAGUACAUAUUAUAUUAACCCUUCAAUGCCCAUUGCAAUUAAUAUACAACACAUUCAAAUAAUAUGUUUCUACAUUACAUAUAUGGAUUACAAAAAAUGUUUUUUUUUUAUUUCGAUAUGCGAAUGUAACAUAAUUUAUAAAAUAUCUUUUGAGUGAAAAUAAUUUUUUAGAUCAUUUUGAAAUGAAACUUAAAAUUAUUAUAAGAUAUAUAUCAUGAAAAUGUUUAGUAAUUUAUAAUUCACAAAUAAUUAAUUUUGCAGUUAUUAAAUUUAAGUUUAUUUUAGUAAUUAUUAAUUAUAAAAGUACAAUUUUUUCAUACAAGCUCAACCACAGGAUUUUUAAAAUUUUGUUGCCAAAAUUCAGCGCAUCAAAAUUAGUUUAAGAUAUUUUUGGUGUUAAAAAAAAAUUGGAUGUUGAAGGGUUAAUGUGAUAUUAGAUAUGUACUGUAUUUCAUAUAUAAUAUAGUAUGUAUUAUUACUCGUUUAUAUGUUAUAGGUACUUAUAAUAUAUUUUUAACCUAAUUUUUAAUUUUUUAGAUUGAUAACAAUUUUGAACAUAUUUUUCCAGAUAAAAGUUUUAAACUAUUUUAAGAGUUUGAUAUAUUAAAAUAAAAAUUUAAAAAAGAUGGACAUACCUUGCCACUGCAAGGAUAAUGAAGAUGAGUGCAGCCACUAUUAUAGGUUAUUUAAUGUGUACCUGUAAGCAAUGUUAAACCAUUGCUUACGAAAAACGAUUCUGAGCGGAGUUCAGUUGAUAGUGAUACUUUGUCAAUAAUAUACAUACAUACCAUAUUGUAGUAAAAUAAUUAAAUAGGCCUUAUAUAUUUUCUUUAAUAUUUGUUUAAUAUUGUACGUUUCCCCCCUGUUUUAUCCAUGUAUUAUGAAAACACCAGGGAAAAUCAAAAAAUACCUUCUAAAGUACCACCUCAGUCAGAUUUCCUUUCAAAAAAAAUGCUAUUGUCAAUCUGAGCAAAAUUGCUGGUAGAAAAGUUAUUCACAGAAAAAAAAAAUCAUUUAGAUUAUAUUUAUUAUAAUUAUAAUUUUUUCAUAAAUUUUCCUAGUUUUUUUUUUUUGAAGGGGAUUUUGCAAGUCUUCUGGUAAAGAAGUUGCGCACAGAUAUAAAAAAAAAAAAAAAUCUUUGUUAAACUAUAAGCUUCUUUGCUCCAUUUAGAAUCUAAAACAUUGUAAAACCUAUACAUUCCUUGCUCAAAUAAAAAUUAUCUAAAAUCUAAAAUCUUUACCAAACAACAAAUUUGGAUUCCCAACUAAUAAAUGAAUUAAAUGCUCUUUAUUACAAACCAGGUAUUUAUUGAUUUUUUUUUUUUAAUUUAUAGUGUAAUGUAUUGGUUUUACAAUGAUGUUUAUUUAUUUACUUGGUUUUUUUUCUGUGAACACUUUUUCUACCAGAAAACAUACUCCGAUUAAUAAUUAUAGGACCUUUUCUGAAAGAAAAUGUUCUCUGGGUGGUACUUUAGAGAUGUCAUUUUUUUAUUUUAUUUAUAAUUAUAAUUAUUUAUAGGAAAAAUAUAGAGCCUAUUUAAUUAUUUUACUAUAAUAUGAUAUAUAUAUUAUUGACAAAUCAUUACUAUCAGUUGAACUCCGCUCAAAAUUGUUUUUUCACUAGCAAUGGUUUAUCAACAUUAAAUGCCUGUCUGUAUCCUAUCUUCCCAACUUCCCACCUACAACAGUGGCUGCACCAUCCUCAGUAUCAGCUCAGUAUAUCUGUCCUUUUUUUAUUAUUUAAUAAAAUUAGCUCAUGAGUAUUUUUAUGUUAUUUUUAAGUGAUGACAGCAGAUUUUUUCAACCCCUUAUAUAAGCAAACCUGGAACAUCAAAAUCUUGCAUAACAAUAAGACCAUUGAAAGUAGAUUAAGCCACUUCAUUUAUUUUUAAUAUUAUGGUUAGUUUUUAAUAAUAAAUUAUAAACAUCCAACAAUGUUAAAACUUAUAAAUGGAUAUUUUUGUCAAUAAAUUAAUAUGCUUAGAAGUAAAAUAAAUAGAGCAUUUUCAACUGGAUCAAAAUAAAUAUAUUAAAUGAAUUAAAUUGUAUAUUUGUUUACUGAUAGAUUUUUUUUCAUUAACAUAAUAAAGUUAAGUUAUCAUAAUUUAUUGUCCCUUAACUUUCCUCCUAUAAUUUAUAUUAUUAUUAAAAUUAAUGUUUCUAUCACAGAAUUUUCAACUCUAACAUGUAUAGUAACUCUGUUUAGUACUUUCAAGGUUAAUAAAAAUUUGUUAAAAAGAGGUUUAUUUAGAAUAUAAUUUCUUCAGUAAUCAUAAGUAUUCAAAUAAUUUAUUACAAAUAUAAUACAUUAUUAUUUUAUACUUAUAGCAAGUAAUUUUUAAAUAAAGUAAAUGAAUAUAUAAAAAAAAAAAUAAACAUAGACAAUUUCAUCAUCAGGUAUAUCCCAGACAAAAUGUAAACCACGACUGAAUAUACAAAAUUAAAUGAAGGAAAACAUAGAAAAAAAAAAAUUAUAUAAAUUGGUUGUUAUACAUAUAAUAUAGAAAUAAUGUAUUUUAAUAGAAGAGAUAAUUUAAAAUGAGUUAAUAUUAGACAUAGUUAUGUUAGGAAAUAUACAUUAU
rnacentral:lncRNA from 1 species